GCCUGGUUGGCUUAAUUGGAAAAGCAUGUGACUCUUAAUCUUAGGGUCAUGAUUUUGAGCUCCAUAUUGGGUA
rnacentral:tRNA from 1 species